UACGUAGGGGGCGAGCGUUGUCCGGAUUUAUUGGGCGUAAAACGCUUGUAGGCGGCCACCGCGCGUCGGACGUGAAAUCUCCCGGCUCAACUGGGAGGGGUCGUGCGAUACGGCGGGGCUCGAGGCCGGUAGGGGGACGCGGAAUUCCGGGUGUAGUGGUGGAAUGCGUAGAGAUCCGGAGGAACACCAGCGGCGAAGGCGGCAUCCUGGACUGGUCCUGACACUCAUGAGCGAAAGCGUGGGGAGCGAUCCGG
rnacentral:rRNA from 1 species